GAUGGAGGAGAAGUCUUAAGUUCAACGGUAAGCAUGAACGACGUGCCUAGCCAACAUUCUGGUCUACAGACAAGCAUGAGGUUAUAGAGCUGAGGUAUAGUGAUCUUCGACGGAUCGUGUUAUUCAAAUGUCAAUGGUAUGAUUUAGGAUGACAAAGGCCAAUUAUUAUAAACCCUCAACUUGUCAGUGUCCACACUGGUUACG
rnacentral:lncRNA from 1 species